UACAGAGGGUGCGAGCGUUAAUCGGAAUUACUGGGCGUAAAGCGCGCGUAGGCGGCUUUGCAAGUCGGGUGUGAAAUCCCCAGGCUUAACCUGGGAACUGCAUUCGAGACUGCAUUGCUAGAGUAUGGGAGAGGGAAGUGGAAUUUCCGGUGUAGCGGUGAAAUGCGUAGAUAUCAGGAGGAACACCGGUGGCGAAGGCGGGUCUCUGGGCCGAUACUGACGCUGAGGAGCGAAAGCGUGGGGAGCGAACAGG
rnacentral:rRNA from 1 species